AAAAAUCCAAUUUGAAGGAAAACCAAAUUAUUUAUUAAAAAACUAUGCCUUACCAACCCUAUUACGCCGGCUGUCAAGUGCUUUAUUUACCGAAAAUAAUGAUUUAUUUUGCGUAAUUUACUAAUUUAUUGUUCAAUUUGUAAUUUUAAGGAAGAAACUUUCGCAUUAAAAAAGAGCAUCAAUCAAAAUGCAAUAGUAACUACUGGGGCAUUCUAGGUCACUUACAUUAACGUUAAUGUAACCAAAGCAAUGGGUCAAGAUUUUACAAAUGGCAG
rnacentral:lncRNA from 1 species